rnacentral:rRNA from 1 species
CAAAAACAUUGCUUUUUGUAUCAAAUAAAAAGUAAGUCCUGCCCAGUGAUAUUUUUUUCAACGGCCGCGGUAUCCUAACCGUGCAAAGGUAGCAUAAUCACUUGCCCAUCAAUUGUGGGCUAGAAUGAACGGAUAAACGAAAUAAUUUCUGUCUCAGUUAGAAAACUAAAAAUUAUUAUCUAGUCGAAGAACUCUAGAUAUAAUCGAAGGACAAGAAGACCCUAUAGAGCUUCAUUUAAUUUUAAAAUUAAAUACUUAAUAUAAAUUCGGUUGGGGCGACCUGGGAUAUUAUAAAUCAUCCCAAAAACAAAGAUAAAUUAAUCAAUUACAAGAUCCUUAUACAAGAUCAUAAAAACAAGCUACCUUAGGGAUAACAGGCUAAUCCUAUUAAAGAGUCCUUAUCAAUAAUAGGGGUUGGCACCUCGAUGUUGGCUUAGGAAUUUACAGUGGCGCAAAAGUCACUAUACAAUGGUUUGUUCAACCAAUAAUAUCCUACGUGAUCUGA